ACUGAAAUUUACACUAUUGACGGCGAAGAGUUGCGGUUUUCUCUGCGGUUAUUGAAGGAUGACUUAGUUUGUGUUUGCGUGAUUACAAGAGAUUAUUAACACUAUUGUGUGACACACCAGCAUCCCUGGCCUGCCAACAGCAUCACUGGCCCUAUUGAGCCCAGCUGCUGGAAUACCAGUAGGCUCUGGGACGACCCACGAGUCCAUCUGGUUGAGUGAAAGGGCCCAGGUGCAGUAGGUCAGACAUGAUUCACUUUUGCAGUUAAUUUUACUUACAUGGGAAAUACAAUGGAAGAAAAUAUCGGGCUGGUGUCAUAUCUCAGAAGGUCUUUGGUUCAAAUCUGAAUCAUAAUUAUUCUCAUGGCAAUGAACGGUUUUCCGCUGCAAUUUGCCAGGAGACAAGCACUGAUAAACUUGCACUAUCGUCUUGGGAUGUGAGAUAUUUUUUUAAUUUGCUCUCAUUUGAAUUCUAUGACGUUAUUUAUAAAUGUCUAACUUUGCCAAAUGUUAGAAAUUACUGCAAACAGAACUGGUAAACAUGUUUUAUUUAUUAUUAGGCUAUUGCACAUGCACAUUAGAUGGAAUGUCGUUGCUUCUAACAUGAUCUUGCAAAGGUCUUAAAAAUGUACCAAGUUUGAAAGGUUUAAUUUUGAUAUGAUUGAUGGAUGGCUUGGAUUUAAUACAUAUUGUACUUUUUAAUUGAUUGCUAUUGGCAUGCUAAGUGCCUGGAUGAGUGAUAUGCUAAUGUGAAUCUGUCAAUUAUCGUUAUGACUGCUAGCUAGUACUGUAGUAGUCACCCACAACUCUAGCAGUAUGCAGUAAUCACCUAUUUUCUCAAACUUUAUCAAGGAUUUUUAUAGCCAAAUCAUUUUAAUGAUAAAAAUGCAUUUACUAGAAAUUAAUCUACUUGGAUGUCUUAAACUGGAAUUUUAUAAACUAUCUUUCAUAUUAUAUUUUGUAAAUUAAAUUGAACUGAUGAUACACUUUAUUUAAGUUGCAAUAUUUCUAAUCAUUUUUUUUAACUUACUUUAGAAUAUUCUGUGUAUAUUUUUAUAAAAUUAAAAAAUCAAUUGAACUAAUGAUAUUUA